AUUGAACGCUGGCGGCAUGCUUUACACAUGCAAGUCGAACGGCAGCGCGGGCUUCGGCCUGGCGGCGAGUGGCGAACGGGUGAGUAAUACAUCGGAACGUGCCCAGUAGUGGGGGAUAGCUCGGCGAAAGCCGGAUUAAUACCGCAUACGACCUGAGGGUGAAAGCGGGGGAUCCUCGGACCUCGCGCUAUUGGAGCGGCCGAUGGCAGAUUAGCUAGUUGGUGGGGUAAAGGCCUACCAAGGCGACGAUCUGUAGCUGGUCUGAGAGGACGACCAGCCACACUGGGACUGAGACACGGCCCAGACUCCUACGGGAGGCAGCAGUGGGGAAUUUUAGACAAUGGGCGAAAGCCUGAUCCAGCAAUGCCGCGUGUGUGAUGAAGGCCUUCGGGUUGUAAAGCACUUUUGGCGGGAACGAAAAGGACUGUGCCAAUACCACGGUUCGAUGACGGUACCCGCAGAAUAAGCACCGGCUAACUACGUG
rnacentral:rRNA from 1 species